rnacentral:tRNA from 1 species
GGGCGCUUAGCUCAGCUGGUUCAGAGCGUACGCUUCACACGCGUAAGGUCACUGGUUCGAUUCCAGUAGCGCCCA